GCUUACGGCCACACCUCCCUGAACACGCCCCAUCUCAUCUGAUAUCGGAAGCUAAGCAGGGUCGGGCCCGGUUAGUACUUGCAUGGGAGACCGCCUGGGAAUACCAGGUGCUGUGAGCC
rnacentral:rRNA from 1 species